UCCGUAGGCGGUCAGGUAAGUCAGUGGUGAAAGCCCAUCGCUCAACGGUGGAACGGCCAUUGAUACUGUCUGACUUGAAUUAUUAGGAAGUAACUAGAAUAUGUAGUGUAGCGGUGAAAUGCUUAGAGAUUACAUGGAAUACCAAUUGCGAAGGCAGGUUACUACUAAUAUAUUGACGCUGAUGGACGAAAGCGUGGGUAGCGAACA
rnacentral:rRNA from 1 species